rnacentral:tRNA from 6 species
GGGUGACUAGCGCAAUGGUAGCGCAUCGGACUCUUAAUCCGUUGGUUCUGGGUUCGAGUCCCAGGUCACCCA